AAGAUUCUUCGGAUGAUUCUUAACUGACUGAGCGGCGGACGGGUGAGUAACGCGUGGGUGACCUGCCCCAUACCGGGGGAUAACAGCUGGAAACGGCUGCUAAUACCGCAUAAGCGCACGGUAUCGCAUGAUACAGUGGGAAAAACUCCGGUGGUAUGAGAUGGACCCGCGUCUGAUUAGCUAGUUGGUAAGGUAACGGCUUACCAAGGCGACGAUCAGUAGCCGACCUGAGAGGGUGACCGGCCACAUUGGGACUGAGAUACGGCCCAGACUCC
rnacentral:rRNA from 1 species